rfam:Felis catus isolate Cinnamon breed Abyssinian chromosome A2, whole genome shotgun sequence.
GCCUGGGUGGCUCAGUUGGUUAAGCGUCUGACUUUGGCUCAGGUCAUGAUCUCACAGUUUGUGGGUUCGAGCCCCGCACCUGGCU